GGACGAUCGACGCGCGCCCGUCAGUGACGACUCACGGCCACGACAGAGUCGAGCGCUGCAGUCUUGACAUAUAUUCAUGUUCUAUUCUUCGAUAAUUAUUAUGUUAAUGACUAUUACACCAAUGCCAGCACGUACUCAGCCGGAAGACGUCCACUGCUGGACAAAGGCCUCUCCCAAGGAUCGCCACGACGACCGGUCCUGCGCUGCCCUCGUCCAACGUAUUCCGGCGAUCUGAUCAGAUCCUCGUUCCAUCUUGCGGGGGACCUACAAACACUGCGUCUUCCGGUACGUGGUCACCAUUCGAGGACUUAUCUGCCCCAUCGUCCAACUGUCCGUCAAACUAUGUACCCUGCCCACUGAUGCACACAUUGGUAAAAUUAGUCAAACAUUAUCGGGUUCAACUUUCAGGUCACCUAUAUGGUAGUCUAUUCUAAGCUUAUGGUAACGAUAUUGCAGACUUAGAUCAUUUAUACGUCUAGGUAUACUAUAACACGCUGUGAAUACGUUAAAAAAUGAGUUUAGAAUUAACCUCUAUUUUGAGCAAUUCACGCAGACUAACACAAGGUGUCAUAAUUUUUCCCUAACGCGCCAAAAUAAGUACUAACUUCAAUAAAUACUUCCUGACAUAGCUAUAUUUUUGGUCUUGAACCGUCUUAGGUUAGGUUAGGUCAGUAUGCAUCAGUUCCAACCCGUAAAUGUCAUCAUGAUUAACGUAUUCAGAUUUCAAAUAAAAGAAUUCCUUUA